AAGAGCCAAUCCGCCAGAAAACCAUGCAAUAUUCAGAAAAUCGUCCAAAUCGACAAUCACAACUUGACAAAUUUUUAUACAUCAUCUUAAUCCUUGACAUAAAAUAAAAGAAUUUGACCACUUAAUUUUUCCCAGAAUCGUAUCUAUUUUUAGUAACAGCCUCAUUUGCAUAAUUCUGUAAAUUCAUAAUGAAACCAAGGAAAAAUCCAACUUUUUUAUGCCUUUUAAGAAUGACCCAGAAGCAUAUUAAAUGGGGUAGUUGAGUUUUUAGAGUAAUGUCAGCUGAAACUCAUCCAUUUUACUAUGUUAUGAUCAAUACAAAUGAAAAUUUAAACGAUUUGGCACAUUGCCAGGAGCAGGGACACAAAGGCGGGGUUUUUCAUACAUGAAUUUACGUGGUUUUCAUUCGCUUCUAUCUUGCAAGACCCAUUCCGGAUUUGUUUGCAACUUAUAUCGGUUUUAACUAUGGGGUAUGUUUUAUAUCAAAACAAAAUAUUAAGCUUGGCAAAUGACUAUUAUAUGUUAAUUUAUGCCUUGGAAGAAUGGUGAUUUUAGUCCCAAAUUGACACAUUUUGAUUUUGAUUUUAAUUAAAUUCUAAACACAAUUGGUACUAAAAUGGCUCAUAAAAUCAUUCGAACAAGUAAAAUCAAUUUGUCUGAAAAAUGAAAUAAGACGUAUUUGUACUGCAAGUCCAAAAAUCAAUAAAUUGUCUGAAACCAGGGAGUCCAUCUUUUAUGCUCUUCCAUUGACUUAUCUCCCUUGGGUAAGAUCUCAAACAUGUCAGCUCCCAGUGUAGUUUGGCAGACAAAUGCUUACAGUGAAGUUUGUGACUUUAAUAAUCUAGGAUGAGCAUGUGGGCUAUCCCAGCCUUAUACAUCUACAUAUUACAAACUAUUUAAGAUAUCUGAAUGCACUAAAGACCAAAAUAGCAUUUCCAAAAAAAAUAAUUACUGCCAAGAAAUUUGACAAUCAUGACAAUAAUUUAGUGAAUAAACAUGAUAAAUAUUGAUUGGAAAAAUAAGUCCAUGAACAGCAAAAAGUGUUUUUAGAUUUCAACGAGCAAAACAAAAGUAUUCUAAAUCAUUCUUCGUAAAAAAAAAAGUGAGCCAGUGGAACCACCUUGCUCGCACCAAAAUUGAGAUUGAGAGUGUCAAAACUGCUCUGGCGCACCAUCAAUAAAUCAACGACACUCUCUCUACGGUAGACUCUACCGUGGUAUUGAAACCAGCAUUGGUAACCAAACAUAUUCAUACAGAUACAGACUACCAUUCAUCUACAUUUAGGAAGUCUGAAUAAUACUGAAAACUUAAUGGUGUAGAAUUUCCAACAGGACUCCUUAUUUUAUAUAAGACAAGGAGUGGUUUAUUUUCCCAUGGUUGUUACAUCAUCUUGUCUUUGAAUAUGCUCGAAGUACAGGGACUUUUAUGGAAUUCAUUGACAUGAUAGUCAAGCAAGAUGUCAACAUCUCGUCCAACCCUCUUCCAGCAAAGCCAAAGCUGACCAAGGAUCUUCACCCUUUCAAAACAGGCUGUAUACAGGACGAGUUAUUCCAGUAGGAACAGGGCUAUAUAUAUGCAAGCAAUGCUCAAUUAAGAUGAAUUUUUGUAAAAGUGACAAUAGCCUGGUCAAACUAAAUACAUGUAUAGAAGAAGAUAUUGAUCUAGACUCGCAGCUAACCUUUCUGUCAGUGUCAACAACAACUGAUCUUUCACAGCAGUCAACAUCAGAUUGGGAGACUGAUAAUGCUUCUAACAGAAACAAUUUCAACCAACCAAACAAGCAACAGAAACUUUUCAACUUUAAAACAUCAGUUAAAUCUUCCAUGGGAUGAUGUCUCAAAAAAUAACAGUUCAUCAUUUAUGGAGAUUUUAAUGUUAUGGUUUUUCUUUUACAAGAAAGUUAAUGUACACUUGUUUUAUAGUAAAACCUAUAGCUGUUCAAGUAUAAAAAAACACAUUCAACUUUAUUGAAAUUGGAAGAUUCAUAUGACUUAUUUUAAUUCUGUUAUCUCCGAGGAUGUGAUGUAGAGCAUUAUAGGUACAGUAAUCUUAACAGCUAUCCAAUUUCAUUCAAAAUUCUUUAUAAAUUUUGCACUGGUAUAUAUAGAAUAAGUAAUUUGUUUUUCAUCUAGUUAUGGGAUUUUUUUAUACCCCACGCAACGAGUUGUGGAGGGUAUAAUGUUUUUGACCCGUCUGUCCGUCCAUCCGUCAGUCCGUCAGUCCUGUUUCUUGUCAUCGCAACUCCUCUCAAACCACACAACAGAAUUUCACGAAACCUUUUUAGAUAAUAAGGACAUACUAUGUAGUUGUGCAUAUAGACAGGAAAUUACUAUUCAAUUCUUUUUCUAGGAGUUACGCCCCUUUGAACUUAUUUACUUUAAUGUACUACUGCAACAGUUUGUCAUCGCAACUCCUCUCAAACCACAUAACAGAAUUUCAUGAAACCUUUUCAGAUAAUAAGGACAUACUACGUAGAUGUGCAUAUCGACAGGAAAUUACGAUUUAAUUUUUUUACCAGGAGUUACGCCCCUUUGAACUUAUUUGCCCAAUAUACUACUGCAACCUUUUGUCAUCGCAACUCCUCUCAAACCACACAACAGAAUUUCAUGAAACCUUUUCAGAUAAUAAGGACAUACUACGUAGAUGUGCAUAUCGACAGGAAAUUACGAUUCAAUUGUUUUUCCAGGAGUUACGCCCCUUUGAACUUAUUUGCCCAAUAUACUAAGGCAACCUUUUGUCAUCGCAACUCCUCUCAAACCACACAACAGAAUUUCAUGAAACCUUUUCAGGUAAUAAGGACAUACUACGUUGAUGUGCAUAACGACAGGAAAUUACGAUUCAAUUUUUUUUCCAGGAAUUACGCCCCUUUGAACUUAUUUGCCCAAUAUACUACUGCAACCUUUUGUCAUCGCAACUCCUCUCAAACCACACAACAGAAUUUCAUGAAACUGUGUAGAUAAUAAGGACAUACUACGUCGAUGUGCAUAUUGACAGGAAAUUAUGAUUCAAUUUUUUUUUCUUACACUUAUUUUAUUUCUCCAAUGACAAUGUUGGGACGUGGGGUAUGUGAGCGCGCUCACUAAGGUUCUUUCAUUUUAGAAGCAUUCAUGAUUUUCAUGUUUGUAUUGACCACAUUGCAGCAACAUAGAUAUAGGUACCUGGCAAAUCUUGCCUUGUUAGCAUACUAGGCUCAAAGGGUCAUAAAAAAAUUUCCAUCACUAACUGUCUGUUAAAAUCAUCUGUUUACAGUUUUCACUUUUAAACCAUCAUCUUAAUAACUUUAGAAGAAGUGUCAUACAUAUAUAUAUAUGUAUACAAAAUUUAAAAACUUUUCAAUAUAUAUAUACAUAUAUAUAUUGAUAAUAACUAUCAACAUGACAAGAUCUAAAUACCCAAAAUUUUUCUGAAAAAUUGGACAUAACAUCUAUGAGCUAUUGUCCCUGAAAUGUGUAAAUUUACAAAUUUUCACAGUUUUCAGCUACUAUCUGACAACUAUAUCAAUAUAUUAUAAGAAUAAAUUGCAAAAGUGGUCAGAAGAAACUUUUUUUUUACAGUCUAAACUUAUUCUGAAUUGUUUAACUUCUAAUUUAAAUUGAUUGCGUUUGAAAUAUGUGUUUUUUAUCGUUUUAGGUGCAUAAUUUGUCAAUACGAUCUAUUUCAGCUCCUGGGAGCCUCUAGAUUUAUAAUGAAUAAUUUGUAUUUAUGUAUGAUUAUUUUCUUAAUGUAUUAAAUGAAACAUUAAUUAUUCUU